UACGUAGGGGGGCAAGCGUUGUCCGGAUUUAUUGGGCGUAAAGAGCGUGUAGGCGGCCAGACAGGUCAGCUGUGAAAACUCGAGGCUCAACCUCGAGACGUCGGUUGAAACCGUUUGGCUAGAGUCCGGAAGAGGAGAGUGGAAUUCCCGGUGUAGCGGUGAAAUGCGCAGAUAUCGGGAAGAACACCCGUGGCGAAGGCGGCUACUCGUGGGACGGUACUGGACGCGUGAGACGGCGAAAGCUAGGGGAGCAAACAGGG
rnacentral:rRNA from 1 species